AUUGAACGCUGGCGGCAGGCUUAACACAUGCAAGUCGAGCGGAGAGAGGUAGCUUGCUACUGAUCUUAGCGGCGGACGGGUGAGUAAUGCUUAGGAAUCUGCCUAUUAGUGGGGGACAACAUUUCGAAAGGAAUGCUAAUACCGCAUACGUCCUACGGGAGAAAGCAGGGGAUCUUCGGACCUUGCGCUAAUAGAUGAGCCUAAGUCGGAUUAGCUAGUUGGCGGGGUAAAGGCCUACCAAGGCGACGAUCUGUAGCGGGUCUGAGAGGAUGAUCCGCCUGACGGGGACUGAGACACGGCCCAGACUCCUACGGGAGGCAGCAGUGGGGAAUAUUGGACAAUGGGCGGAAGCCUGAUCCAGCCAUGCCGCGUGUGUGAAGAAGGCCUUAUGGUUGUAAAGCACUUUAAGCGAGGAGGAGGCUACUUUAGUUAAUACCUAGAGAUAGUGGACGUUACUCGCAGAAUAAGCACCGGCUAACUCUGUGCCAGCCGCCGCCGUAAAAC
rnacentral:rRNA from 1 species